rnacentral:rRNA from 1 species
UACAGAGGGUGCAAGCGUUAAUCGGAAUUACUGGGCGUAAAGCGUGCGUAGACGGUUAUGUAAGUCGGGUGUGAAAGCCCCGGGCUCAACCUGGGAAUUGCAUUCGAGACUGCAUAGCUAGGAUGCGGAAGAGGGAAGUGGAAUUUCCGGUGUAGCGGUGAAAUGCGUAGAUAUGUGGAGGAACACCUGUGGCGAAGGCGCCUUGCUGGCCAAUUUCUGACGCUGAGGCGCGAAAGCGUGGGGAGCAAACAGG